GCGACCUUACUUGAACAGGAUCAGUUCUAUAGGCUCGUACCACUGCUGUAUCCUUGAGUUCUAAGGAGAUAGGAAACCAAGUCUAAGUGGAUGAAAUGUGUCCAUGAGCCAGACCGUGAUUAACAUCUUUGGUGGCCCUUGGGCCUCUGAACAGUAGAGGAUCAUUCUCAGACCUCUCGUGGGUCUGGCGUGGUCAACUCUCAGACAGAGU
rfam:Nicotiana sylvestris Nsyl_contig149944, whole genome shotgun sequence.